rnacentral:rRNA from 1 species
UGCAGUCGAGGGGUAUAUGUCUUCGGAUAUAGAGACCGGCGCACGGGUGCGUAACGCGUAUGCAAUCUGCCUUUCACAGAGGGAUAGCCCAGAGAAAUUUGGAUUAAUACCUCAUAGUAUUAUGGAGUGGCAUCACUUUAUAAUUAAAGUCACAACGGUGAAAGAUGAGCAUGCGUCCCAUUAGCUAGUUGGUAAGGUAACGGCUUACCAAGGCAACGAUGGGUAGGGGUCCUGAGAGGGAGAUCCCCCACACUGGUACUGAGACACGGACCAGACUCCUACGGGAGGCAGCAGUGAGGAAUAUUGGACAAUGGGCGCAAGCCUGAUCCAGCCAUGCCGCGUGCAGGAUGACGGUCCUAUGGAUUGUAAACUGCUUUUGUACGAGAAGAAACACUCCUAUGUAUAGGAGCUUGACGGUAUCGUAAGAAUAAGGAUCGGCUAACUCCGUGCCAGCAGCCGCGGUAAUACGGAGGAUCCAAGCGUUAUCCGGAAUCAUUGGGUUUAAAGGGUCCGUAGGCGGUCUUGUAAGUCAGUGGUGAAAGCCCAUCGCUCAACGGUGGAACGGCCAUUGAUACUGCAGGACUUGAAUUAUUAGGAAGUAACUAGAAUAUGUAGUGUAGCGGUGAAAUGCUUAGAUAUUACAUGGAAUACCAAUUGCGAAGGCAGGUUACUACUAAUUGAUUGACGCUGAUGGACGAAAGCGUGGGGAGCGAACAGGAUUAGAUACCCUGGUAGUCCACGCCGUAAACGAUGGAUACUAGCUGUUGGGGGCAACUUCAGUGGCUAAGCGAAAGUGAUAAGUAUCCCACCUGGGGGAGUACGUUCGCCAAGAAUGAAACUCAAAGGAAUUGACGGGGGGCCCGCACAAACGGGUGGAGCAUGUGGGUUUAAUUCGAU